UAGCAACCCCCUUUGGUCGAAGGUAUUAGAACACCUCUCAUUGGUUGAAACUCAGUUGGGGCACUACUGAGAACACGUGUAUCACUUCUAGCCCCCUUGGAUUCCCUUUCCUUGUCUAAUGCUUGUCCCUCACGGACUCACGAUGUAGCAAAGCUGUCCUUCAUCCCACUAUCCUGACAUUAGCAGAUUUUCUCUCUCCUCCAGCCAUGGCAUAGUACAAUAGCUAUCUUAGGGUUUGAAUGGGGGAAGGGCUUAACACAUGUUUUUGUGUACCUAACAACAUUCCUCGUACUAUAAAAGAAAUAUAUUGCUGAGCAAUUAGGGCAAGAGACAGAAGAGAUAGAAAGAGAGGCAGAAAUCUGGGUAGAAAAGUGAGGAAAAGAGAGGCUUUUGGGGAAGAACAUCACCUUAUGUAGUACCUUAAACUUUCACAUAAUAGAGAGUUUUAAAGAGUGAAGGAUAUUCCAUCCUUCACUCACCGUGGUUUUUCACCCCUUCCUCAGGGUUUUCCACAUAUGUUACAUGCCUUCUUUACUUUCUUUGCUCUGUAUUUUACUUUCCUUAGAUGUUAAAGUGUUAAAGUUUUCAUUUUUAUUGUUCAUGAGCUUUUACACUUAAAUACAAUGUUAGAUUUCUACUUCGCCUUCUUUGCACAUUUGACAAUCUAACUUGCACAUACAUUUUUGGCGACUUCACUAGAGAGAAUCUCAGGUUAUUCUCUCUUUUUGUUUUUCAAUGCCUCUGAGAAAGAAGAACGCAGCUGAUUAGACAGGUUCAGGUGAAGAAGAACAAGUCGAAGCAAGCGUGGAUCAUGUCUCCAUGCACACUGAAGGUACAGAGUCUUUUGAAUAGGUCUGGCAGCCCAGAAACCGAGAGCUUGUUGUGGCCAUAGAGGACCCUCAACGUUCCCAAGCCACCAUGUGGGUAGAAGUUCAGUCUUUGUGUCAAAAGUCAUCUACUCCUCAGACCCCACAAGGAGGCCAACCACCUCAGGGAGAGACUGAAAGGUCGAAUCUGAUUCCACCUCCAAUUCCAGAGCGGAGAGCACCACAACAGCCCAAUGAGCCUCAAGCAUCUCCCUAUUUGACUAGGGCUUGAGGCCAGAAAGGCGGAGAGCCUGUGGUUAUUGGAGUUAGCUUUUUUUUUAUUAUUGAAUUUCAGGUGUUUUUGUAAACAUAACAGAUCCCAAAGUAUGUAGACACCAUCACUCUUCAUUACAAACCCAAGUCUGAUGCCUUGGUAAGGGCCGCAAUUAUUUCUUUUUUUCUUUAUUGGUUCUCAUUACUCCUCCUAUUCUCCUAUUAAAGCUAAAGGAUCCCCCUCUUCUUUUUUCUUUUUUCUUUUUUCUUUUUUUUCGUGCUUUGUUUCCACAAAUGUCUGGAACUGCUCAUACUUAUUUUGAUUUGCAUAAUGGAAAAUGUAACAUCCAAGGGCACGAAGAAUAUCCAAAUGUUCAUGGAUAUGAUGGGAUGACUUCCGGUCAUAUCUUGUGAGAAACUGAAAUCAAGAAAAUCUCUUCUAUCGGGAAUACCUGAAUUGACAAAUUCUUGUAAGAAAGGUUCUGAUGUUGUUUAUCUUCUGCUAGGAAACAUGAAAAAUCAACAUCAACAGGGGUUAAAAAAGGUCCAAAUGUCUUUGAAUCUGAUGAAAUUGCUCCUAGUCAUGUCUAACCAGGGUAAACUUUUUCAUUAGGAGCUUCAGCGAUUGCAGGAAAUUCUUGAUUUUAGUGUUCUUACUACAUAGAAACUAUCCAGCUACUGUAAACAUGGCAGGGGAAAAAAUCUUAUAUUUUUGGGAACAUCUAAUGAAGUUCAAUAUAUUUUGAAUUUUAGUUGGUGGAGCUGAAAGAAGCUGAAGAGAAAUCUCUGAAGGAGUCUGAAAGAUUAGAAAAGGAGGUUGCAGGAGGUUGCAGAAUUUAAAGAGAUGAAGAAAAAGAUCAGUACCAUGACUGCAAAUUUGAGAAGCAUCCAGAGCUAAAGAAGAAGUUUGAUGAUGAAUAUCUGAAAUGAUUAUUGGUGUUACUGAAGUCAUCUCUGCUUAUCACUUUUCAGUUAUUAAGCAUCUAUUGCAUUUCAGUUUCUACGCCUUCAUCCCCAAUUUGUCAUAUUCCAUUAGAAUAAAAUUAAGCAUUUGUUCUUUUUGAAUUUUGUAAGCUUGUUCUUGGGAAAUUGCGAAAAUUUUGAUCAAUAUACUUGUGUGGAAAAGGAUUAUCUUCA